rnacentral:lncRNA from 1 species
AACUCUUAACAACAAAUCAUGCCCUUAAAAUUAUUUUGAUUCAAAUAAAGAAGAUUCCUUUGUGAAUUAUCUAACUUUCUAUUUAUUAGAAAAUUAGAAUAAAAAAUGAGAAAAAAGAAAAAAAAUAGAAAAAAGAAAAAAAAAAGAUAAGAACAAGAUAAAGGUUAAGAAAAAAAGAAGAAUAAAAAAUAAAAGAAAAAUAAAAAAAAACAAAGAUUAAGAAAAACAACAAUGGAAGGAAAAAAAAUAAAA